rnacentral:lncRNA from 1 species
UUGAUAUAAGAAGCUGGAGCUUUCGACCCACUAGCUCCCCUAGCCAUCUCUAGGACCCAUUUCUGAUGGUCCUACUCAUCCGAUAUGCUAUCAAGUCUAGCUUUCAUCCUAUCUGCUUUAGCUUCUUGCUUUAUUCUCUUCUUUUCUCUUCUUUAUUCUAGUAAUACCCCAAACUUUUUUGAAGUCUAAUUUAGUCUCCAAAAUAUUUAGGGAUGACUUCCUAAAUGAUAAAUAUUGAAAUAAGAUAGAAUUUCCCCAAUUUAGACUUUCUUCAUGUGGGAAAUUGAAUUAGCUUUCCAAUGAUAUCAAUUUCAUCCAAAUCAGAUAUUGAUGUAAAAUGUUAUGAACAUUUUAUAGAAAACUAUAGGAACUGCCCAGAAGAGACAACCAGGACCGACGGACCAUCGAGCUAGCGACAGACCAUCACCAAGCCGCCGUGACUAAGGCAAUGAACCCAUCUUCUGGCCAAGUGCGGUGGUCAGGACCGAUGGACCAUUACCCAAACCAUCGCAGAAGAGGAAAAAAGUUUAGGUUCUGGCCAAGUACGACGGGAUGGACCAAUGGCCCAUCGAACCAGCAAUGGACCAUCGCCUAAACCGUCACCAGUUUCAAUUAGCGAUUUUAAGCCAUUUUUAAAACUGUAUUUAGGUUUUUG